rnacentral:hammerhead_ribozyme from 1 species
AUCCAGAUGACGAGACCCAAAUAGGACGAAAUGCACAUCCUGGAU